GACGAACGCUGGCGGCGUGCUUAACACAUGCAAGUCGAACGGAAAGGCCCCUUUGGGGGUACUCCAGUGGCGAACGGGUGAGUAACACGUGAGUAACCUGCCCUUGACUUCGGGAUAACUUCAGGAAACUGGGGCUAAUACCGGAUAGGAAUCCUUGCUGCAUGGUGGGGGUUGGAAAGCUUCGGCGGUUUUGGAUGGACUCGCGGCUUAUCAGCUUGUUGGUGGGGUAGUGGCUUACCAAGGCUUUGACGGGUAGCCGGCCUGAGAGGGCGACCGGCCACAUUGGGACUGAGAUACGGCCCAGACUCCUACGGGAGGCAGCAGUGGGGAAUAUUGCACAAUGGGCGGAAGCCUGAUGCAGCAACGCCGCGUGCGGGAUGACGGCCUUCGGGUUGUAAACCGCUUUCAGCAGGGGCGAAGCUUGUGGUGACGGUACCUGCAGAAGAAGCACCGGCUAACUACGUG
rnacentral:rRNA from 1 species